rnacentral:rRNA from 1 species
ACUCCUGCGGGAGGCAGCAGUGGGGAAUAUUGGACAAUGGGCGCAAGCCUGAUCCAGCCAUGCCGCGUGAGUGAUGAAGGCCCUAGGGUUGUAAAGCUCUUUCACCGGAGAAGAUAAUGACGGUAUCCGGAGAAGAAGCCCCGGCUAACUUCGUGCCAGCAGCCGCGGUAAUACGAAGGGGGCUAGCGUUGUUCGGAAUUACUGGGCGUAAAGCGCACGUAGGCGGAUCGAUCAGUCAGGGGUGAAAUCCCAGGGCUCAACCCUGGAACUGCCUUUGAUACUGUCGAUCUGGAGUAUGGAAGAGGUGAGUGGAAUUCCGAGUGUAGAGGUGAAAUUCGUAGAUAUUCGGAGGAACACCAGUGGCGAAGGCGGCUCACUGGUCCAUUACUGACGCUGAGGUGCGAAAGCGUGGGGAGCAAACAGGAUUAGAUACCCUUGUAGUCCCA